rnacentral:rRNA from 1 species
GAUUAACGCUGGCGGCGUGCAUAACACAUGCAAGUCGAACGAUGAAACUUAGUAGACUUCUUCGGAAAGACACUAAGCGGGUUAGUGGCGAACGGGUGAGUAACGCGUGAGUAACCUGCCUUACACAAGGGGAUAGCCUUUGGAAACGAAGAAUAAUACCCUAUAAAACCAUAAAAGCACAUGCUAGAAUGGUCAAAGUGAUAGCGGUGUAAGAUGGACUUGCGUCUGAUUAGCUAGUUGGUGAGAUAAAAGCUCACCAAGGCAACGAUCAGUAGCCGGCUUGAGAGAGUGUACGGCCACAUUGGGACUGAGACACGGCCCAGACUCCUACGGGAGGCAGCAGUGGGGAAUUUUGCACAAUGGGGGAAACCCUGAUGCAGCGACGCCGCGUGAUUUAGAAGGCCUUCGGGUUGUAAAAAUCUUUUGUAUAGGAAGAAAAUGACAGUACUAUACGAAUAAGGUCCGGCUAAUUACGUGCCAGCAGCCGCGGUAAUACGUAAGGACCGAGCGUUGUCCGGAAUCAUUGGGCGUAAAGGGGUACGUAGGCGGCUAGAAAAGUUAGAAGUCAAAGGCUAUAGCUCAACUAUAGUAGGCUUCUAAAACUAUUUAGCUUGAGAAAUGGAAGGGAAAGUGGAAUUCCUAGUGUAGCGGUGGAAUGCGCAGAUAUUAGGAAGAAUACCGGUGGCGAAGGCGACUUUCUGGCCAUUAUCUGACGCUGAGGUACGAAAGCGUGGGUAGCAAACAGGAUUAGAUACCCUGGUAGUCCACGCCGUAAACGAUGAGUGUUAGGUGUCCGGAGUCAAAUCUGGGUGCCGCAGCAAACGCAUUAAACACUCCGCCUGGGGAGUACGCACGCAAGUGUGAAACUCAAAGGAAUUGACGGGGACCCGCACAAGCAGCGGAGCAUGUGGUUUAAUUCGACGCAACGCGAAGAACCUUACCAAGUCUUGACAUAUUACGGAAGCAGUUAGAGAUAAUUGCUUACAUCUUCGGAUGACUGUAAUACAGGUGGUGCAUGGUUGUCGUCAGCUCGUGUCGUGAGAUGUUGGGUUAAGUCCCAUAACGAGCGCAACCCCUAUUGCUAGUUACCAUCAUUAAGUUGGGGACUCUAGUAAUACUGCCGGUGACAAACCGGAGGAAGGUGGGGAUGACGUCAAAUCAUCAUGCCCUUUAUGACUUGGGCUACACACGUGCUACAAUGGCAGGUACACAGGGUUGCAAGACUGCGAAGUUAAGCGAAACUCAAAAAGCCUGUCCCAGUUCGGAUUGCACUCUGCAACUCGAGUGCAUGAAGUUGGAGUUGCUAGUAAUCGUGGAUCAGAAUGCCGCGGUGAAUGCGUUCCCGGGUCU